CCCAGGCUGGGUAUAAAUAGCAGGAAUGUCUUUUCUCACAUUCUCAAUGCUGGAUGCCCAUAAUCAGGUGACUACAAAUUCAGUUUGGAUUAAGGGCUGGAUUCCUACCCUCUAGGCAGUCAGCUUCUGCUUUGUCCUCACACAAUCUCUUCUCAGUGCAGACCCAUUGAAAGGGCUCCAUCUCAUAAUACAGCCACCCUGGAAGUUAGGGUUUCAGCCUAUGAAUUUUGGGGAGCAAAAGCAUUUAACUCAUUAACAAUGGAGACUUGAAAGAGUUCACCAGUAACUUCCACCUCUUGUGGGCCAAAGCACCCUUUAUGCUGAGUACACUCUGAAUAUACCAGGCAGCCAAGGAGCACCCUUAAGCACAGAUAUGAGAAGCCAGGCAGCUUCAGCAGAUAAAGAAGCUGAACCACCGGGAGAUUAAGUAGCUUUUCUACAGAGCUAACCGAGAGCAGGAUGAAGACAGGCAGGCUGGCUCCCUGGACCAAUCUUAAGCGUGGCUAGCUUUCCUCCUCCUCUACAGACAAAUAUGUGUCCUGAGGCCAGUCAGAAACCUGUCCAACGAUAAUAAAUGGUGGUCUGCUUU